AACGAACGCUGGCGGCAGGCUUAACACAUGCAAGUCGAACGGGUGUAGCAAUACAUCAGUGGCAGACGGGUGAGUAACACGUGGGAACCUUCCUAGGGGUACGGAACAACUCAGGGAAACUUGAGCUAAUACCGUAUACGUCCGUAAGGAGAAAGAUUCAUCGCCCCUAGACGGGCCCGCGUCGGAUUAGGUAGUUGGUGGGGUAACGGCCUACCAAGCCUACGAUCCGUAGCUGAUCUGAGAGGAUGAUCAGCCACACUGGGACUGAGACACGGCCCAGACUCCUACGGGAGGCAGCAGUGGGGAAUCUUGGACAAUGGGCGCAAGCCUGAUCCAGCCAUGCCGCGUGAGUGAAGAAGGCCUUAGGGUUGUAAAGCUCUUUUACCAGGGACGAUAAUGACGGUACCUGGAGAAUAAG
rnacentral:rRNA from 1 species